GUCAGAACGAACGCUGGCGGCGCGUUUAAGCAUGCAAGUCGAGCGGCAAGGGCCUUCGGGCCCCUAGAGCGGCGGACGGGUGAGUAACACGUGGACUAAUCUGCCCCCCGGCCCGGGAUAGCCCAGGGAAACCUGGAUUAAUACCGGAUGAGACGGGACCCGCGAAUGGCGGGACCCGGGAAAGGCGCUGCGGCGCCGCCGGGGGAUGAGUCUGCGUCCCAUUAGCUAGACGGCGGGGUAACGGCCCACCGUGGCGACGAUGGGUAGCCGGCCUGAGAGGGUGGACGGCCACAUUGGAACCGAGACACGGUCCAGACUCCUACGGGAGGCAGCAGCUAAGAAUCUUCCGCAAUGGGCGAAAGCCUGAACGGAGCGACGCCCGCGUGAACGAAGAAGGCCGUGAGGUUGUAAAGUUCUUUUCGGGAGGGGGAACAACCGUGGCAGGGAAUGGCCGCGGGAUGACGUGAAUCCCGGAAUAAGCCCCGGCUAACUACGUGCCAGCCGCUGC
rnacentral:rRNA from 1 species